AGAGUUUGAUCAUGGCUCAGAAUCAACGCUGGCGGCGUGCCUAACACAUGCAAGUCGAACGCUGCUAACCCCGCAAGGGGUUAGCGGAGUGGCAAACGGGUGAGUAACACGUGGGUGACCUGCUUUCGAGUGGGGGAUAACGUCCCGAAAGGGACGCUAAUACCGCAUAACAUCCCGCCUUUGAACAGGUGGAGAUCAAAGCUGGGGACCGCAAGGCCUAGCGCUCAAAGAGGGGCCCGCGCCUGAUUAGCUAGUUGGUGGGGUAAUGGCUCACCAAGGCAACGAUCAGUAUCCGGCCUGAGAGGGCGGACGGACACACUGGGACUGAGACACGGCCCAGACUCCUACGGGAGGCAGCAGUGGGGAAUUGUUCGCAAUGGGCGCAAGCCUGACGACGCAACGCCGCGUGGAGGAUGAAGACCUUCGGGUCGUAAACUCCUUUCGAUCGAGACGAAUGGCCUUUGGGUUAAUAGCCUGAGGGAGUGACGGUACCGAGAGAAGAAGCCCCGGCUAACUCCGUGCCAGCCGCCGCGGUAAUUC
rnacentral:rRNA from 1 species